UUCAAAAGGGCCACAAUUCCCGGGACACUUGCUAAGGGCUCGCUGGAGACGUACCAAGAAUAAAUAGCGAGCAGACAGUAAGCUCUCAUCCCAGGAACAGCUUUCAGUCAUCUCUCCCUGAACCACUGUUGCAUCAGGACCUACAGAAGUAAGUUCUGUAUGUGACAGAUCACUUCUACUAGAAGAACUGUUUUACAGCAGAGCUGGAAAAGACUAAAAAUCAUGAACAAAUUAAAAGAUCUCACAUUACCUACAUAUACAAGGAUUUAAGCAGUAUGAGCAGCAUCUAGGAUUCAGCUUCUGCCAGUUCCUAAGAAGCAAAUCAAGUUCUAGUCCAUUUGAAAUUCUCUCAUUAUUAAAUAUAUAUAUACUUAUAUAUAGAUCUCUCUCUCUCUCUCCCUCUCUCAGGGCUUUUGUAAAGCAGAUUACUGUAUUACCAAUCAUUUCA